UACGAACUGUGCAAACGUUAUUCGGAAUCACUGGGCUUACAGGGUGCGUAGGCGGCCUGUCAAGUAGGGUGUGAAAGCCCCCGGCUCAACCGGGGAAUGGCGCCCUAAACUGGCGGGCUAGAGUGAGACAGGGGUGUGUGGAACUUCCGGUGGAGCGGUGAAAUGUGUUGAUAUCGGAAGGAACGCCGGUGGCGAAAGCGACACACUGGGUCUUGUCUGACGCUGAGGCACGAAAGCCAGGGGAGCGAACGGG
rnacentral:rRNA from 1 species